rnacentral:rRNA from 1 species
AAUGAACGCUGGCGGCAGGCCUAACACAUGCAAGUCGAACGGAUCCUUCGGGAUUAGUGGCGGACGGGUGAGUAACGCGUGGGAACAUACCCCUUGGUACGGAAUAGCCUCGGGAAACUGGGAGUAAUACCGUAUGUGGUCGAGAGACGAAAGAUUUAUCGCCAAAGGAUUGGCCCGCGUUGGAUUAGGUAGUUGGUGGGGUAAUGGCCUACCAAGCCGACGAUCCAUAGCUGGUUUGAGAGGAUGAUCAGCCACACUGGGACUGAGACACGGCCCAGACUCCUACGGGAGGCAGCAGUGGGGAAUCUUAGACAAUGGGGGGAACCCUGAUCUAGCCAUGCCGCGUGAUCGAUGAAGGCCUUAGGGUUGUAAAGAUCUUUCAGGUGGGAAGAUAAUGACUGUACCACCAGAAGAAGCCCCGGCUAACUCCGUGCCAGCCGCCGCCGUAAAAC